AUUGAACGCUGGCGGCAGGCCUAAUACAUGCAAGUAGGACGCAGUUGCGAACGGGUGAGUAACGCGUAGGUAACUACCUAUUAGAGGGGGAUAACUAUUGGAAACGCUAGCUAAUACCGCAUACUAGUAGAUGGACCUGCGUUGUAUUAGCUAGUAGGUAGGGUAAUGGCCUACCUAGGCAACGCUACAUAGCCGACCUGAGAGGGUGAGCGGCCACACUGGGACUGAGAAAAGGACCAGACUCCUUCGGGAGGCAGCAGUAGGGAAUCUUCGGAAAGGGGGGGAACCCUGAACGAGCAACGCCGCGGGAGUGAAGAAGGGUUUCGGAUCGUAAAGCUCUGUUGUUAAGGAAGCGGUACUUAACCAGAAAGGGACGGCUAACUACGUGCCAGCAGCCGCGGUAAUUC
rnacentral:rRNA from 1 species